rnacentral:misc_RNA from 1 species
GAUGAAGAACGUAGCGAAAUGCGAUAAGUAAUGUGAAUUGCAGAAUUCAGUGAAUCAUCGAAUCUUUGAACGCAUCUUGCGCUCCUUGGUAUUCUGAGGAGCAUGCCUGUUUGAGUGUCAUUAAAUUCUCAACUACACUGACUUUGAAUUGGUGUGGCUUGGAUUUGGGGGGAAAAUUGUUGUGGGCUUUUUGUAUAGUCUGCUCCCCUGAAAUUGAUUAGCGGUACCUUUGUGGAACUGUCUACAGGUGUGAUAAUUAUCUACAUCUUAGACAUCUGCUGGAAUGCUGCUUUCUAAACCUUACUUGUAUUGACAAUCUUGACCUCAAAUCAGGUAGGACUACCCGCUGAACUUAAGCAUAUCAAUAGCGGAGGA